rnacentral:rRNA from 1 species
UACAGAGGUCUCAAGCGUUGUUCGGAAUUACUGGGCGUAAAGGGUGCGCAGGCCGCGCGGGCAGUCAAAUGUGUAAUCCAGGGGCUCAACCCCUGAACUGCGCUUGAUACUUCCGCGCUCGAGCUUUGGAGAGGAGUCUGGAAUUCUCGGUGUAGCAGUGAAAUGCGUAGAUAUGCGGAGGAACACCGAUGGCGAAGACAAUCCCCUGGGCCUGCACUGACGCUCAUGCACGAAAGCGUGGGGAGCAAACAGG